GACGAACGCUGGCGGCGUGCUCAACACAUGCAAGUCGAGCGGUAAGGCCCUUUCGGGGGUACACGAGCGGCGAACGGGUGAGUAACACGUGGGUGACCUGCCCUUAGCUCUGGGAUAAGCCUGGGAAACUGGGUCUAAUACCGGAUAUGACUCCAUAACGCAUGUUGUGGGGUGGAAAGCCUUGUGCGGCUAGGGAUGGGCCCGCGGCCUAUCAGCUUGUUGGUGGGGUGAUGGCCUACCAAGGCGACGACGGGUAGCCGGCCUGAGAGGGCGACCGGCCACACUGGGACUGAGACACGGCCCAGACUCCUACGGGAGGCAGCAGUGGGGAAUCUUGCGCAAUGGGCGAAAGCCUGACGCAGCGACGCCGCGUGGGGAUGACGGCCU
rnacentral:rRNA from 1 species